rnacentral:sRNA from 1 species
AGUUUCACUCUGGCUCCUAGGCUGGAAAGCACUGGCACCAUCUCAGCUCUCUGCAACCUCCACUUCCCAGGUUCAAGCGAUUCUCCUGCCUCAGCCUCCCGAGUAGCUGGGACUACAGGCGAGCACCACCACAGCCGGCUAAUUUUUCUAUUUCUAGUAGAAAUGGGGUUUCACCAUGUUGGCAGGCUGGUCUCGAACUCUGACCUCAAGUGAUCUGCCUGCCUCAGCCUCUGAAAGUGCUGGAUUGCAGGCGUGAGCCACCGCACCAGGCCUAAACAGAUUUCUUUACAAUCUACCACCAUGAACAGCAAGCAUUAGCAUUGCUCCAUCCCACCCAGCAGCCCGCAGAGAAAGGAGGCAGCUGGCACCACACUGGGCUUUGGAGACACUGCGGGGACUGUGGACCCCACCCUGCUGCACGGAGCUCCUGCAAAAGCAAACCUGAGGACCUUG